rnacentral:rRNA from 1 species
UGCCAGCCGCCGCGGUAAUACGGAGGGUGCAAGCGUUGUUCGGAAUUAUUGGGCGUAAAGCGCGUGUAGGCGGUUCGUUAAGUCUGAUGUGAAAGCCCGGGGCUCAACCCCGGAAGUGCAUUGGAAACUGGCGAACUUGAGUACGGGAGAGGAAAGUGGAAUUCCUGGUGUAGAGGUGAAAUUCGUAGAUAUCAGGAGGAACACCGAUGGCGAAGGCGACUGCCUGGAUCAAUACUGACACUGAGGUGCGAAAGCGUGGGGAGCAAACAGGAUUAGAUA